rnacentral:tRNA from 1 species
GUAGACAUAGUUUAGCCUAAGACAUUAGAUUGUGAUUCUAAAGACAGGGGUUAAAAUCCCCUUGUCCACC